CGAACGCUAUUGUGGUUAGAAAUGAUAUGAAGAACUUGUUCAGAUUUGUAUUUCAACAUUGCAAUGAGUGGCGAACGGGUGAGUAACACGGUAGGGAAACCUACCUCUUAGCGAGGGGAUAACUAUUUAGGAAAACAAAUGACUAAUACCGUAUAAUAAUUAAAACCGCAUUGGUUUUAAGUUUAAAAGAUGGUCUUGCUAUCACUAAGAGAUGGUCCCGCGGUGUAUUAGUUAGUUGGUGAGGUAAUGGCUCACCAAGACAAUGAUACAUAGCCGAGUUGAGAGACUGACCGGCCACAAUGGGACUGAGACACGGCCCAUACUCCUACGGGAGGCAGCAGUAGGGAAUCUUCCACAAUGGACGAAAGUCUGAUGGAGCAACGCCGCGUGUGUGAUGAAGGGUUUCGGCUCGUAAAACACUGUUGUAAGAGAAGAAUGACAUUGAGAGUAACUGUUCAAUGUGUGACGGUAUCUUACCAGAAAGGAACGGCUAAAUACGUG
rnacentral:rRNA from 1 species